rfam:Neosartorya udagawae DNA, contig:Aud0008, strain: IFM 46973.
GGCCGGAUGGCGCAAUGGUAGCGCGUUGGUUUUCGGCACCAAAGGUUGCGCGUUCGAAUCGCGUUUCGGUCG